rnacentral:rRNA from 1 species
UGGGGAAUAUUGGACAAUGGGCGCAAGCCUGAUCCAGCCAUACCGCGUGGGUGAAGAAGGCCUUCGGGUUGUAAAGCCCUUUUGUUGGGAAAGAAAUCCAGCUGGCUAAUACCCGGUUGGGAUGACGGUACCCAAAGAAUAAGCACCGGCUAACUUCGUGCCAGCAGCCGCGGUAAUACGAAGGGUGCAAGCGUUACUCGGAAUUACUGGGCGUAAAGCGUGCGUAGGUGGUCGUUUAAGUCCGUUGUGAAAGCCCUGGGCUCAACCUGGGAACUGCAGUGGAUACUGGGCGACUAGAGUGUGGUAGAGGGUAGCGGAAUUCCUGGUGUAGCAGUGAAAUGCGUAGAGAUCAGGAGGAACAUCCAUGGCGAAGGCAGCUACCUGGACCAACACUGACACUGAGGCACGAAAGCGUGGGGAGCAAACAGGAUUAGAUACCCUGGUAGUCCACGCCC